UACGAGGGGGGCGAGCGUUGUUCGGAAUUACUGGGCGUAAAGGGCGCGUAGGCGGCCUACUAAGUCAGACGUGAAAUCCCCAGGCUUAACUUGGGAACUGCGUCUGAUACUGGAAGGCUUGAGUGCGGGAGAGGGAUGUGGAAUUCCAGGUGUAGCGGUGAAAUGCGUAGAUAUCUGGAGGAAUACCGGUGGCGAAGGCGGCAUCCUGGACCGACAUUGACGCUGAUGAGCGAAAGCUAGGGGAGCAAACGGG
rnacentral:rRNA from 1 species